rnacentral:rRNA from 1 species
GAUGAACGCUGGCGGCGUGCCUAACACAUGCAAGUCGAACGAGAUGCGUAUUGGAAAGCUUCGGCCGGAAGAUACGUUAUCUAGUGGCGGACGGGUGAGUAACACGUGGGUAACCUGCCUUAUGGAGGGGGAUAACAGAGAGAAAUCACUGCUAAUACCGCAUAAGCACACAGUACCGCAUGGUACAGGGUGAAAAGAUUUAUCGCCAUAAGAUGGACCCGCGUCUGAUUAGCCAGUUGGCAGGGUAAAAGCCUACCAAAGCAACGAUCAGUAGCCGAUCUGAGAGGAUGACCGGCCACAUUGGGACUGAGACACGGCCCAAACUCCUACGGGAGGCAGCAGUGGGGAAUAUUGCACAAUGGGGGAAACCCUGAUGCAGCGACGCCGCGUGAGUGAAGAAGUAUUUCGGUAUGUAAAGCUCUAUCAGCAGGGAAGAUAAUGACAGUACCUGACUAAGAAGCCCCGGCUAACUACGUGCCAGCAGCCGCGGUAAUACGUAGGGGGCAAGCGUUAUCCGGAUUUACUGGGUGUAAAGGGAGCGUAGACGGAAUGGCAAGUCUGAAGUGAAAUACCCGGGCUCAACCUGGGAACUGCUUUGGAAACUGUUGUUCUAGAGUGUUGGAGAGGUAAGUGGAAUUCCUGGUGUAGCGGUGAAAUGCGUAGAUAUCAGGAAGAACACCGGAGGCGAAGGCGGCUUACUGGACAAUAACUGACGUUGAGGCUCGAAAGCGUGGGGAUCAAACAGG